rnacentral:rRNA from 1 species
CCUACGGGUGGCUGCAGCCGCGGUAAGACGGAGGAUGCAAGCGUUAUCCGGAAUGAUUGGGCGUAAAGCGUCCGCAGGUGGCAGUUCAAGUCUGCUGUCAAAGACCGGGGCUUAACUUCGGAAAGGCAGUGGAAACUGAACAGCUAGAGUAUGGUAGGGGCAGAGGGAAUUCCUGGUGUAGCGGUGAAAUGCGUAGAGAUCAGGAAGAACAUCGGUGGCGAAGGCGCUCUGCUGGACCAUAACUGACACUCAGGGACGAAAGCUAGGGGAGCGAA